rnacentral:rRNA from 1 species
CGACGAUGCAGUAGAUGAUCAUCAGUAGCGCGGCGUCAUCUCUGCUGUGUGUUAUAUAAUAAUAUGUCGUCGCGUCGUGUCACAGCGCGCGACGCGCGCCCCGUUGGUAAGUUCUAUAUAUAUGGGCGACACACAAAAGAGGGGCGCGCUCUAAAAAGAGAGAGAGUGUGUAGAAAUCAUCCCCCCCGAAAAUAUAUUUCCAAAAAUAUACACACAUAUACCCUUCCCCCCUUUUGCCCCCCGCGCGGUGUGUUUCUUCUCACAAAAGCCCCCGGACCCCCCCACGGGGGGACCCCCUGGUUUUUAACUUUAACCUUCCAGGGAAAACCCCAAAAUUUGGCCCCCAUUUCCCCCGGGGCGUUUUAGGCGAGCCACCCGUUAGGGGACGGGACAACCGGGGGCCAACACCGGGGAAAGGCCACCCCAUGUGUGUGUUGGGGAGGUGUGCGGGUGUUUCCGUUAAGGGGAAACCCUGGCGGGAGAGGGGAUUCCAUUAAUUGAGAGUUUUAACCUCCUCCCAAAACCCAUGUGUGAAACUUUACCCACUGUGUUGCCCUCCGGGUGGGUCGGGUGGCUGGAAAACCAGUGGCUGCCCACCGGGUGGGACUUACUUAAACUUCUUUGUUUAAUUUUUUGGUCAAUUUGAAUCAAAUUAAGAAUUAAGUUAUACUUCAACAAACGGAUCUCUUGGUUCUGGCAUCGAUGAAGAACGCAGCGAAAUGCGAUAAGUAAUGUGAAUUGCAGAAUUCAGUGAAUAUCGAAUCUUUGAACGCACAUUGCGCCCAUUAGUAUUCUAGUGGGCAUGCCUGUUCGAGCGUCAUUUCAACCCUUAAGCCUAGCUUAGUGUUGGGAGACUGCCUAAUACGCAGCUCCUCAAAACCAGUGGCGGAGUCUGUUCGUGCUCUGAGCGUAGUAAUUUUUUAUCUCGCUUCUGCAAGCCGGCCAGACGACAGCCAUAAACCGCACCCUCUCGGGGGGCACUUUUUUAAUGGUUGACCUCGGAUCAGGUAGGAUGCCGA